GACGAACGCUGGCGGCGCGCCUAACACAUGCAAGUCGAGCGAUGAAAUUUUAACCGCUCUCUUCGGAGAGAAGAUAAAAUGGAUUAGCGGCGGACGGGUGAGUAACACGUGAGAAACCUGCCUUUCACAAGGGGAUAGCCUCGGGAAACCGGGAUUAAUAUCCUAUGACACAUUUCCUUCGCAUGGAAGAAAUGUUAAAACUCCGGUGGUGAAAGAUGGUCUCGCGCCUGAUUAGCUAGUUGGUGGGGUAACGGCCCACCAAGGCCAUGAUCAGUAACCGGCCUGAGAGGGUGAACGGUCACAUUGGAACUGAGACACGGUCCAAACUCCUACGGGAGGCAGCAGUGGGGAAUAUUGCACAAUGGAGGAAACUCUGAUGCAGCGACGCCGCGUGAGCGAUGAAGGCUUUCGAGUCGUAAAGCUCUGUCCUAUGGGAAGAUAAUGACGGUACCAUAGGAGGAAGCCCCGGCUAACUACGUG
rnacentral:rRNA from 1 species